GUGGGGAAUCUUAGACAAUGGGGGAAACCCUGAUCUAGCCAUGCCGCGUGAGCGAUGAAGGCCUUAGGGUUGUAAAGCUCUUUCAGAUGGGAAGAUAAUGACGGUACCAUCAGAAGAAGCCCCGGCUAACUCCGUGCCAGCAGCCGCGGUAAUACGGAGGGGGCUAGCGUUGUUCGGAAUUACUGGGCGUAAAGCGCACGUAGGCGGACCAGAAAGUCAGAGGUGAAAUCCCAGGGCUCAACCUUGGAACUGCCUUCAAAACUCCUGGUCUGGAGUUCGAGAGAGGUGAGUGGAAUUCCGAGUGUAGAGGUGAAAUUCGUAGAUAUUCGGAGGAACACCAGUGGCGAAGGCGGCUCACUGGCUCGAUACUGACGCUGAGGUGCGAAAGCGUGGGGAGCAAACAGGAUUAGAAACCCUGGUAGUCC
rnacentral:rRNA from 1 species